CUCAAUUCCGUUCAAAUUCUCCGGAGAUUCGAGCAUCGGCUUUUCCCUGGCUUUCCGGCAUCUCAUCAUAAUUCUCGAGAUUCAAUCAAUCCAUUCACGACAGAAUCAUGAAUCCUGAAUAUGAUUAUUUGUUCAAGCUUUUGCUAAUUGGAGAUUCAGGAGUCGGCAAAUCUUGUCUACUUCUGAGGUUUGCUGAUGAUUCAUAUCUGGAGAGCUACAUCAGUACCAUUGGAGUUGACUUUAAAAUCCGCACUGUGGAGCAGGAUGGGAAAACUAUUAAACUCCAAAUUUGGGACACAGCUGGGCAAGAACGUUUUAGGACAAUUACAAGUAGCUACUAUCGAGGAGCCCAUGGCAUUAUUGUUGUUUAUGAUGUUACAGACCAAGAAAGCUUCAAUAAUGUUAAACAAUGGUUGAGUGAAAUUGACCGCUAUGCAAGUGAAAACGUGAACAAGCUUCUUGUUGGUAACAAGAAUGACCUUACAGCGAACAAAGUUGUCUCAUAUGAGACUGCAAAGGCAUUUGCUGAUGA
rnacentral:misc_RNA from 1 species